rnacentral:lncRNA from 1 species
GGCGUGUGUCUGAGGGUCUCUAACCAAUUGUAUGAUAGGUUCAGGCACGUGGACAGCGUGUGGGGCUACAGGGAAAGUAUAUGUAGUGGUGAAAAAUGGUAUUAAAGGCCUUCUGUUCAAGAGCCAUCCAUGUCUUUCAUCCCUUCAAAUGGUGACCCUGACGUGAUCAGGAAGAGAGCAGCGCUGAGAGAAGCAUCCGGAGGGACCCCAGCCAAAUGACUCAGGCUGGUGGUGGGACCACGGCUUUGAUCCCGGGACAUCACCUCAGGAAGCAGGUGAGCGGCUGGGGCAUUGACUACAGGAGCUCAUCUAUCAGCCGAGGAGGAGGCGAUAGCUGUUACUGACUCAACUCCUGGUAAAAAGAGGAGUGAAACGUGACCCGCAUAAACUGAAACUACAAAAGAAUGGGGCCCUGUCGAUGGUUUUGGAUGUGUUUGAUUAAAAACUUGGGAGGUUGCUGGGACAGCUCUAUGGGAUGCUGACUCACAGGGAGGUACAACAGCCACUGAGGUGACGACUGACCUGGUGCUUAGCUGACUGAGGCACUGAGAUCAUGGCAAGCGGAAAACAGGGUACAGACAGCAGACACUCAGGCUACGCAGCUCCAAACCCUUCUCUGUGUCUCAAAACCUUAUCUGUUAACUGGCAGCUGCCCAUCCAACACCUGCUAUCACCAAAACCACCAGCAAUGGACUAAACGUCCUGGGAACUCACAAGCCUGAGAGAGGACAAGGACACGGCAGAAGGGGACCAGGGACGACUGAGAGCGUGAAGGCUUCUUGCUGCCCAGGAUAGAGACUAUAAACAUUUAAUCUGCUGCUCUUGAAAGUAUCAGGUGAGCUGUGGUAAGCAGGGGAAGGGAGCCUGCAGUGGUUGUACCUCUCUUGAUACCCACUGGAAAGCUUCUUUUUUGGUUUGACCCUUUUGGCCAACUGAUGCAGGGAGGGGAGAAAGUGGGAAGAGAUCUAUCCUGGUCAAGAGAAUCAAAGGCAUUGGCCUUGUGAAGUCUGAAGUAGAGCAUCACCAGGCUCUGUUCAGACAAGCAGAAUCACUUCUGAAUUCUGCCAAAAUCGGACUUAAUAUAUUUAUAUAUCUGUACCUAUAUGUCUACUUAUAACACUACUAUCUACUUAUAAUGUUGAGAUUUUGGUAUGUAGAUAGAUCUAUC